UUUGAUCGUUAUUCUUGUUGUUUGGACCCGAAAGGCGGUGAUCUUUUGCUGGUUAGGAUGAAGCCUUCAGAAAUGAAGGUGGAGGUCCGACAGGGUGCUGACGUGCAAAUCGCUCCCCGAAGCUGGCAAAUGGGGCGAAAGACUAAUCGAAUCGUCGUAGUAGCUGGUUCUAGUCGAAGUUUCCCUCAGGAUAGCAAUGGAUGGGAAAGAGUUUGAUCAGGUAAAGAAAUGAUU
rnacentral:rRNA from 1 species